AUUCAUCUCACCAUAGCCUUUAACAUGAAAGAAAUGAGAUCCCUCUGCGUUUUCUUGGUUCUCUUCUCGCUUCUUUUGCUUGGAAGUGUCCAUGAAGCAAGAAAAGACCUCGAGGAUUCAACAAUGUCAAAAGAUAAAGAGAUCAAGAAAGAUCAGUUCGUAAGAGAUUUUGAUGCACAACCUAAUCUAAAGAUGUUCACAAAGGGCUUUAAUCCAAAACCUAGCUCAUUGGUGAGCAACGAGGAUCCAUCUAAGUCGACCAAUGGGUGUCCACCUAAAAAUAACUAGUUUUGUUCAAGCAUUACAUGCACAAUUAUCAAUAAUUAUAAACGCAAAUAAAGUUUGGGUUUUUUGGUG